CAAUAGCGUAUAUUAAAGUUGUUGCAGUUAAAAAGCUCGUAGUUGGAUUUGUGGUGUACUUCGGCGGCCCGUCACUAUGUGAUGGAGCUUGCUGAAGUCGCCAUCCUUGGGUGGAUCCUGUGUGGCAUUAAGUUGUCGUGCAGGGGAUGCCCAUCGUUUACUGUGAAAAAAUUAGAGUGUUCAAAGCAGGCUUAUGCCGUUGAAUAUAUUAGCAUGGAAUAAUAAGAUAGGACCUUGGUACUAUUUUGUUGGUUUGCGCACCAAGGUAAUGAUUAAUAGGGACAGUUGGGGGUAUUCGUAUUUCAUUGUCAGAGGUGAAAUUCUUGGAUUUAUGAAAGACGAACUUCUGCGAAAGCAUUUGCCAAGGAUGUUUUCAUUAA
rnacentral:rRNA from 1 species